GAUUUAUGUUUAUGGUCUUCCAGCAGACAAAUUUAUGGGGACGUCUGGGGACCAGGCCUCUGACACAGAAUAAGCAUCAAUCUCUCCUGGAGACUGGUCGCGGGUUUAUUUCUGAAACUUGUGUGGAAUGAGGGAGCAAAUCUAGAGUGUUUAAGAUCUAAUAAUAAUCAUACACUUUAACACAUUCAAAUCAUGAUAUUUCAGGAGACAGCAACCUUGGCUUUGCUUAUAGCUCUAAGCAGGGCUGUUCCCAGAGGAGGACUGUCCUUCUGAGGAAAGAAGACACAGAGCUGGUUACAAUCCCAGGGAGGAUGUCUGCACAGAGAGUCCUCAUCUCUCAGAAAGAAAAAAUAAAAGCAUAAAAGAAAAAAAAAGGGCAGAAAAAAAAAUGGAGGGAAAAAAAGGAGCAACUAAGAGAGUUUGAGACAUAUAAUCUCCAAGGCCAAAAGGAAAGACAUAUAAUUUUCAAGGCCAAAAGGAAAUAAGGCAGGAAUUUGAUGGGUGAUUAAUGGCCGUGCUGGAGCAGUGGGAGUGGUGCUGAUGUCAGAGCCUCCAAGAAUGAUUCCUCUUUGGAAAGAGGAAAAGGCAAGUGGAUCCCAAAAUAGCCAUUUUUUUAAAAUCAAUUUUCUGAAACCUGUGAUAUUCUUCCUGGGUAAACUUGAAGCUCCAGAAAAGAGAUGGUCCCUCCUGGAAGAAGCAGUGAAUGGGCUUCCCUAGUCUCAAAUUCCAUUGGACUUACCCACCUACCAGUCCCAAAGGAUUGGCUGCAUCCCAGAACCUCCCUGGACCCUUUGUUUUCACAGCAGCUCCUAGGAAAGCACAUCACCCAGAGAGCUUCAUCAGUGACGAUCUGAAUGCGUUGUGCACAGAGGAGAUUUGACCAGCGGGAAGUUGGUCAAAUUCAUAACUGAAAUUCUAUGUGUUUUUUCUGUUAUAAUUGCAGUAAAAGAUGUACUUUUGCAGUCAGCCUGGAUCACUCCUGAGAAAGAGAAAUAAAUCCUAUGUGAAUUUCAUUUCUCAAAAGAAGGCAAAAGAGGAGACAUUAUUCACUGGAUGUUGGAGAAGAGAUGAAAAAAAUAAAGGAGAAGGCAGUUUAGCAAUGGGAUGGAGACAAAAAAGAAUCCUGUACUCACAAGAAAUUCAGGGGAUCUUCGUCCUCCUCUCCCCUUCAGAAAGAAGCGAGGCCUGUCUGAUAAGGAACAGGAAGAGUUGGACUCUCAUUGGAAUGGAUGCAGAAUCUUGGCCUCUGCAAUCCCACCGCCAGAACCACUGAAGGAAACCCUGCCUGAGAGUGAAGCCAGCACAGAAGCAGUGGAAUUGAGAAAGGAAGAGAGGCUUUGUUUAUGAAUCUGCCCAAAGGGAUCCCUUGAACUUUCCAAUCAAAUAAACCAAUAGAUUCUGUUUUCUUUUA
ensembl:lincRNA